rnacentral:rRNA from 1 species
UGGUAUUAGCGGUAAGGAAACACCUGUUCCCAUCCCGAACACAGCAGUUAAGCUUAUCUGCGCCGAUGGUACUGGUUUGGCAACGGACUGGAAGAGUAGGUCGCCGCCAUCU